UACAGAGGCCCCGAGCGUUGUUCGGAUUCAUUGGGCGUAAAGGGUGCGUAGGCGGCGCGGUAAGUCGGGUGUGAAAUCUCGGAGCUUAACUCCGAAACUGCAUUCGAUACUGCCGUGCUUGAGGACUGGAGAGGAGACUGGAAUUUACGGUGUAGCGGUGAAAUGCGUAGAUAUCGUAAGGAAGACCAGUGGCGAAGGCGGGUCUCUGGACAUUUCCUGACGCUGAGGCAUGAAAGCCAGGGGAGCAAACGGG
rnacentral:rRNA from 1 species